AGGGUAGUCGUGACUCAUCACUCAUGGCAUCUUUCGAUGCCAGCAAGAGCAACAAGAGCCAUAUAGCAUCAGACAUUAUUGUUGCCCAGCAAACAAAAAAGAAAAAGAUGAAUUUCUGAUCCAAGUGAUCACAUAAUUGCACGACUCUAUGGCAUGAUAGAUAUGAAGGUAGUGCACAACUAACUAAUGAUGGGACACCACCUCUCUAAUGCGUGGAUUUAUGGAGGUACAUCAUACAUCGAUUGAUUUUAAAAAAAAGGUUCAGAUUUCAUUUCUGUGUCCAUUUAAUCCUAUGAUCUCUUACUUAGCUAGUCUUGAUUUAGUAAUAGUACUCUAUCCGUCCCAAUAAUGAUAGCCCCUCUUCUUAAACGACAUAAGAUUUUAUGAAGUAGUACUAUUUUGUGUGUUGAGUGAAGAGAAUAAAGUAGAGAUAAUAAUGUUGUUUUUAUUUUUAGAUAUGAAUCAUCUUUGUUGGGAUAGACCAAAAAAAGUGGGUCGUUUUUGUUGUGAUGGAAGGGGCACUUUAUGUGGCAGUGAAUAGUGUUGGUCAGAGAUUUAAACUAAUGAGAACAUAGAUAGAUGUAGGUGUGUUCGGUUUGUUAGACGACAUUGAGAAAUAAUAUGGAAUAAGUCAAAAUAUGCUUUAUCAAGGAGUCAAUUAGCCGCGUGGUGGGGAUGAGAUGGAUAAUCACGAGACACAAUGUAAAGACUCCCAAGUUUUUAAGGAGAAGAACAACCGAACAAGAGAUAAACAUAAACAUAGCCUCUAGUGAUGAACAAUAGCGGGAACGGAACAUGUCGGUAGUUGACUUUGAAUUGGUGGUUUAAUCAAUAUAUAAACGUGGGAUCAUACUCAGCCUAAUUUGAUGUAGCAUAAUGAUCAAGUGAUAAUGGUGAAUGAUGCAAGCAUGCAGAAAAACAGAAUUUGAUUCAUAGAUAUGAUUGAUAGGAAAUGUAAGUAAUACUCCUACUUAUGAAAAGAGAGAGAGAGAAGGGCUUGUGGUGAAAGCACGCCUACUAGAAUUUUUUUUCCUUGAAUUCUAUCCAUUUUUAUCAUGCCUUAGCUUGAAUAUUUGGCUGAUUAUGAUGAGGCAGUUAUUAGUUUUAAUUAUUAGCUAGAUCGUGAUGAUAUAUCUAUUGAUAAUAAUUGAUGGUGACACAUCUGGAUUUUACAAUUUACUUGUUAGUUUAUACAUAUAUGCUUUAUUAUCAUGGAAUUAUUUUUUGUAAUGAUUGAUAAGAUGAAAGCUUUUUUGGUUUCAAUGCAAGUGGCCUACGGACACUGUACUACGCGUGAUCUGUUAUUCCAUCUCACUAUUGUUAAGGAGGUAAUAAUGUAGAAAUUUAUUUUAAUGUAGGUUAUAUAUUCAUUUGAGUUUUUAAUUUUGAGAGAGUGAUUAUUUUA